CGACUCUCGGCAACGGAUAUCUUGGCUCUCGCAUCGAUGAAGAACGUAGCGAAAUGCGAUACUUGGUGUGAAUUGCAGAAUCCCGUGAACCAUCGAGUCUUUGAACGCAAGUUGCGCCCGAGGCUAUCCGGCCGAGGGCACGCCUGCCUGGGCGUCACGCAUAGCGUCGCUCC
rnacentral:rRNA from 1 species